rnacentral:lncRNA from 1 species
CCAACAUUUGUUAGACAUCCAACAUUUGUUGGAAGUCUACCUUACAAGAAACCACCUCUUAUCUGCAACAUAAACAGAAGCUACAUCAGGUUGAAAAUCCACAUAGAAGACUGGAGAAAAUUGCCGUCCCCUUUCGCACUAGGUUUUACCAGGGGCCCAAGAUGUCAGAGGAAAGUCCGCGGAGGGCCAAACACAGGUUUACCUAAUUAUGAAUCUCAGAUUAGAAUGUCUUAUUGUGUGGAAAAGUCAGAACUCAGGAAAUGUGUCUGAAGCCAGAGCGGGGGUCUGCUUACGGAGUCUACGCAGCGGGUAGGGGUCCACUAUUGGAGUAUAAACCUCAGGUCAGUGAGUAGUGCAGAGGUGUCCCUAACUUCCAAUGGAGGGAAAGAGAGGAGAGCAAAGGAAACACAUCCAGAAGUCGCCACGAGGGCUGUGUGCCAGCGCUCCAUUUUCAUGCUGUUUGGAACAAGACGUGUCAAGGAAGAUGUUUCUAUCCAAAGUCUUCAUGGAGCCUCUGCUUCCCCUGUACCUGUGUAGCUCCCUGAAACUGAGGACCCACGUGUCUGCAAAGACCUCUGGAGAUCCUAAGAGAGAGAGGCACCAGCAGUUUUCUUGACACUGACUUCGGUAACAUUGGCUAAAGGGAAUUGUGAGUCAUGUGAAUUUCACCUGCAGUGCAGACUUUAAAGGACUGUGUUCAUUCUGAUUUGGGGAUGAAGAGAAUGUUCCAUGCACAUCUAUUGAUUGGUCUUGGCAGUUGCUGAUACGCUUGUCUCAUUCACACUCCCAAAGGCGAGGAUUUACCCUAGAAAUCAUAAACCCCCACUUUCCAAAGCAAAGAUGCUGUUAAUGUUAUGAUGGUGCAUAAAUACCUCAACUGUCUGGGCUGAGAGAGGGGGCUGCAGGUUUUUAAGAGAGCAGCUAUAGUCCUCAUUCCAUGUAGUCACAUCAUCUGAUGACAGGACUCCACAUUCUAGCUUUUCUCACUGUGGAAAAGAAACGUUACUGUUUAAUUAAUAUCCAAAGUUAUAAAUACAGCUUGUAAAUUUUACUAACUUGUUUCUUUUUCGUUUCGUCCUUGAGAAGUACAACUUGCAUUUACAGAUGGUAAUUCCUAGUGUUGUUCUCUGCUAUCUUUUUUUGGUAUGAAAUUGCUGUAUUUGUUAAAGUUUGUUCGUUUUGUGGUUUUUAAUUCCCAUUGGUGUGCUGUACAAUGUAGUGUAUCAUGAAGAAAGAAAUAAUAUGCAGAUGUAUUAUGAAAUGUGUUUUAUUUUCAAAUGUGUGGUGUUGACAAUAUAUUGAUUUAUCAAGAUACUAAGG